rfam:Canis lupus familiaris chromosome 14, whole genome shotgun sequence.
CGGGGGAGGCCGGAUCCUGGGCUGUGUCCCGGCGCCCUGUGCUCCGGGGCCUGUGCUGUUGGAUUCGCGCUCCCGCCCCGCAGCCCCCU